rnacentral:rRNA from 1 species
UAGGGAAUCUUCCGCAAUGGGCGAAAGCCUGACGGAGCAACGCCGCGUGAGUGAUGAAGGUCUUCGGAUCGUAAAACUCUGUUAUUAGGGAAGAACAAAUGUGUAAGUAACUAUGCACGUCUUGACGGUACCUAAUCAGAAAGCCACGGCUAACUACGUGCCAGCAGCCGCGGUAAUACGUAGGUGGCAAGCGUUAUCCGGAAUUAUUGGGCGUAAAGCGCGCGUAGGCGGUUUUUUAAGUCUGAUGUGAAAGCCCACGGCUCAACCGUGGAGGGGAAUUGGAAACUGGAAAACUUGAGUGCAGAAGAGGAAAGUGGAAUUCCAUGUGUAGCGGUGAAAUGCGCAGAGAUAUGGAGGAACACCAGUAGCGAAGGCGACUUUCUGGUCUGUAACUGACGCUGAUGUGCGAAAGCGUGGGGAUCAAACAGG